UCCUGGGUGGCUCAGUCGGUUAAGCAUCUGACUUUGGCUCAGGUCAUGAUCUCGCGGUCCGUGGGUUCGAGCCCCGCAUCGGGUU
rnacentral:tRNA from 1 species